CUAGACGCUGCCCCAGCUCUGAGAGCCAGAUGUGACAUAACCAGCUCCGUGUCCAAGGUCCCCAAGGUGAGGGCCAAGCCUGCACGUGGCUUUCUGUGGGUGGCGUCCAGGAGAAUGUUCUUUGUUCCUCUUUUCACCUUUCGCUGGCAGUGCUUUAUUCAGUGAGCAUGGGGCAUUGAUGAGGCCCCUAUUACAGUGGGGCGCUGGGAGGGCCCUUCCCUACCCCUGCUUUUUGGGGUCCUUACUCCUCGCCCGCCCCAUUUCCUCCUGCAUAUGCCAGUCUGUGGAUCCUUCACAGCCUGGUGCCACCCCCCAGAUGGCAGCUCGUGAUGUUGACUUCUCUUCCAGGGCCUGGCUCGGGGAGGAGCUGGUGUUUGCUGGGAGAGUGAGUCAGCUGGUAGCUCUGUUUCCUUGGCCUGUGUGGAGUUUCUGUUUAGGAGGCACAUGGGUGCUCCACAGUCAGAGUGAGCCCCUCCAGCUGAGACCCCGCCUCACUGCCCACCGCGCCCCACCAUCUCUGGCUUCUCUUCCCUGGGCUGGUGUUAGUCCAGCCCCACCCACCCUGAUGGCAGGCCUCCUCUGUGUGCACGCGUGUGCGUGUGUGUGUGCAUGUGAAUUUUCCCGGGGAGGUGGCUCCCGGGCUCCUGAGCGCUGAUGAGCCUGGUUCGGUUCCAGCCAGGGGUCCCCACAAGCCCAGCUAGCAGAGCUCGGGGCUGUCUGGGGAUCCCUUAUGCUGGCAGAGGGUUGGCUGCAUCCUUAUCCGAUGCUGCUGACUCAAGGCCUGAGUCAUCGCCAACCUCCCUCUGACGGUGGCUGGGCUGGGUGGGCUGGGCAGGUUGGGCAUUGCGGGUGCACGGGCCCUGAGGGGUGGGAGCUGUCGGACCACCGCCCUGCCCCGGGCAGCAGGGAGCCCUGCGUGGACUGCAUUACAGAGCACAGGCCUGGCCUGGCCUACCUGGAGGGACUCCCCAGAGGUUGGUCUUGCACUCCUGAGUUCAAGCGGUCCACCCGUCUUGGCCUUCCAUGUGAUGGGAUUACAGGCGUGAGCCACCUCGCUCGGCCUGGAUACACCAGGUUCGCCCAGCCGCCUCGCCCGGCCUGGAUACACCAGGUUCGCCCAGCCGCCUCGCCAGGCCUGGAUACACCAGGUUCGCCCAGCCGCCUCGCCCGGCCUGGAUACACCAGGUUCGCCCAGCCGCCUCGCCAGGCCUGGAUACACCAGGUUCGCCCAGCCGCCUCGCCCGGCCUGGAUACACCAGGUUCGCCCAGCCGCCUCGCCCGGCCUGGAUACACCAGGUUCGCCCAGCCGCCUCGCCAGGCCUGGAUACACCAGGUUCGCCCAGCCGCCUCGCCAGGCCUGGAUACACCAGGUUCGCCCAGCCGCCUCGCCCGGCCUGGUUACACCAUGUUCGCCCAGCCGCCGCGCCAGGCCUGGAUACACCAGGUUCGCCCAGCCGCCGCGCCAGGCCUGGAUACACCAGGUUCAUCCAUCCGUGAGCACCUGGGCUGCUUCUACCUUCGUGUGUUGGUGAAUGAUGCUGCUGUGGACACGGGUGUGCAGAUAUCUGUUCAAGUCCUUGCACUCAGUUCUUGGGCGAAUACCCAGAAGUGAAAUGUCCGGAUGAUGUGGCAAUUCUAAUAUAAGUUUUUGAAAUACUGUUUGAAAUAUCGCCAUUCUGGUCUCCACAGUGGCUGCACCGGUUUGCCCUCUCUACCGUAAACACCCUCCAUGCUCUGCGAUUCAUCCCUUCCCCCCCGCUAACC
rnacentral:lncRNA from 1 species